UGGGGGAUAUUGCACAAUGGGCGAAAGCCUGAUGCAGCGACGCCGCGUGGGGGAUGAAGGCCUUCGGGUUGUAAACUUCUUUUGCUCUGAACAAGGCGCACCAUGGGGUGUGUUGAGUGUAGGGGUUGAUUAGCGCCGGCUAACUACGUUCCAGCAGCCGCGGUAAUACGUAGGGCGCGAGCGUUGUCCGGAAUUAUUGGGCGUAAAGGGCUUGUAGGUGGCUGGUUGCGUCUGUCGUGAAAGAUCAUGGCUUAACUGUGGGUUUGCGGUGGGUACGGGCUGGCUUGAGUGCAGUAGGGGAGGCUGGAAUUCCUGGUGUGGCGGUGGAAUGCGCAGAUAUCAGGAGGAAUACCGGUGGCGAAGGCGGGUCUCUGGGCUGUUACUGACACUGAGGAGCGAAAGCAUGGGGAGCGAACAGG
rnacentral:rRNA from 1 species